AUUUUCCCGCCUUUUUUUCCCCCUCACACUUUCCCACGUUUUCUCUCCUCACAAUUUUCCACCUUUUGCUUUUUCCCUCACACUUUCCCGCCUUUUUCUCCCCUCACAAUUUUCCACCUUUUUCCUCUCCUCACAUUUUCCCGCUUUUUCCCCCCCUCACACUUUCCCGCCUUUUUUUUCCCCUCACAAUUUUCUUUUUCCCUCACAUUUUCCCUUUUUUUCCCCUCACAAUUUUCCACCUUUUUCCUCCCCUCACAUUUUCCCGCCUUUUUUUCCCCUCACAAUUUUCCACCUUUUUCCUCUCCUCACAUUUUCCUGCCUUUUUCUCCACUCACACUCAAACAGGGAUUUUUGGGGGAUCGGACAAAGGAUUUUUGGGGUCAGACGGGGAUUUUUGGGAUCAGACAGGGAUUUUUGAGGUUUGGACAGGGAUUUUUGAUGUUCGGACGGGGAUUUUGGGUUUCGGACGGGGAUUUUUGAGGUUUGGACGGGGAUUUUUGAGGUUCGGACGGGGAUUUUGGGUUUUGGACGGGGAUUUUGGGUUUCGGACGGGGAUUUCGGGGAUUUCGGGGUACCGGCAUCCAGGGUUUUGAUGAUCUGCGGGGCGCGGUCGAUGUCCAGCAGCAGAUUCUCGAACCAGCCGUGCUCCCACAGGUACAGGAAGACGCCCAAGCGGUUCCUGAGAGCGGCCUGAGCCUCCUGCUGCCUCUUCCCGGCCUCGUCCGGGUGGUACUUGGAGCGAAACCUGGAGAAUUUUGGGGGAAAAACAAGGAAAAACGAGGGGGCGGACCAACAGUGCUGCUCCGAAAAAUUAGGGGCGCGCCAAAUCUCGAGCUUUUAACUGUUUUUUAUUUUUUUUUAUUUUAUUUUUUUUGGGGGGGGGAGGGUGAGCCCAGUUUGGAGCGUUUGGGAUGCGGGGUGGGGAGAAUCCCAAAUUUGGGUGUGGAGAAUUUUGGGGAGAUGGGAGGAGACCCCCAAAUCUUCUGAAUUUGGGAGGGGGGAGCUCCCAGGUGGAAUUUUUGGGGAGGGAGGGGAAGCCUUGGUCUGACACGAGUGGGGAUGGGGAGGCCAAAAUCCUAAAGCGGGGAGGGGGACACCCGAAAUUGAUGGGGGAACCCCGAAUUUGGUCGAAUUGGGGUGGGGGAAUCCCCAUUUUUUACAGUGACCCCUAAACCGGGGAUUUUUGGUGUGGUCUGGGCUGGUUUUGAGGCUGUUCUGAGAGCGCUUCUGGGGUGUUUCGAGACGUUUUUGGGGAUUUUUUUAGGAGUGUCGUUUUCAUUUUUAGGGGUGUUUUCAGACAAGUAUAGAAAUCGUGGGUGGACCACAGCCACAGAUGGGUUUGUGGGCGUUUUUAGGUACAUUUUGGGGCGCUUCACACCGUUCUGAGCGCGUUUCGGGGUCUUUGAGCGCCUUUUUGGGGUGUCCUGCCCCGUUUUCGGCGCGGUUCGGGGGGGGGGCCGCGUUUUCCCGAGCGUUUUUGGCGGGUUCCGGGACGGUUUUGGGGCGGCUGCGGAGCCGUCCCGGGGCUCCCCGGGUGUCCCGCGGGGAGGGAGGGGGUCCUACCUACCCUCGCCGCCGGCGUCGCCGUCCGCCGGGCCCCGACAACCGCGGCGCUUUUUAAAAGCCCGGCCCCGCCCGGCUCGGCCGCGGCUUUUUGGCGCCAACCCCCCCCAAAAUAAAACAACAAAGGUCCCUGGCUGCGUCCUGCA
rnacentral:lncRNA from 1 species